GGCUGAGAGAUCAGCUGUUCCCUUCGGGGACAGAAUGACAGGUGGUGCAUGGUUGUCGUCAGCUCGUGUCGUGAGAUGUUGGGUUAAGUCCCGCAACGAGCGCAACCCUUAUGAUCAGUUGCCAGCAUUCAGUUGGGCACUCUGGUCAGACUGCCGGUGACAAACCGGAGGAAGGCGGGGAUGACGUCAAAUCAUCAUGCCCCUUAUGACCUGGGCUACACACGUGCUACAAUGGGUGGUACAACGAGCAGCGAGACCGCGAGGUCAAGCGAAUCUCUAAAAACCAUCCUCAGUUCGGAUUGCAGGCUGUAACACGACUGCAUAAAACUGGAAAUCGCAAGUAAUCGCGGAAUUAUUACGCCCACGUAUGAAUAACUUCCCCGGGAUCAUGUUCACACCAAUAUUU
rnacentral:rRNA from 1 species